rnacentral:lncRNA from 1 species
CAACUGCAAGCAGAUUCGUGAAGAACAAGCAAGACCGAAUGCGCUGUAUUGCCUGUUUAUUUUGGUGUUCUCAAACAGGAACACGUGGUCCAAGACAUUUUAAGUCAAAACUGAAAGAUUUGGAUAAUUUUUUAACAACUCUCUUCCAUUCAUGUGGUGCCAGCGCGGUGGAAUAACGAAAUUUUCCAACAAACUGGUCGGUUAAUGAUGGCAGUUGAACAUAACGGGAUAUUCUUGAAACCUCAUUAUCACAGUCAACAGUACCACAUGGAGUCGGUGCCCCCAGACUCUCGUAAACGACCACUAACUCCGACCGAGGAAGACUGUUGUACCAAGCGCACAAACACGGGAGGUCCUGUGGAAAAACAUAAUAAUCUACUUAAAGAAGACGAGUGCUGUUGCUCGUAGGAGAGUAUCAAGACUGGUAAGACCAGAGACAGAUGAGCUGGGGUAGUUGUUGACCUGGAUCAUUGAUAGCCAGCAAAUGGGGGACCGUUCUAAUCCUCACAAAUCAUGUUAAACACUACUUGUUGACCUGGAUCAUUGAUAGCCAGCAAAUGGGGGACUGUUCUAAUCCUCACAAAUCAUGUUAAACACUACUUGUUGACCUGGAUCAUUGAUAGCCAGCAACCCCUGGAAGGUGUCUCCCAUGAUGACCAUUUGGACAGUUCAGAUGGGGGACCGUUCCAAUCCUCAUUUGGUUGGACAAAUUUAUUCAUGUGCCAUCCCCGGACUGCAGGGAAUAUAUAAUGUUGUCAAUCAUCUCUUGCACUCCCAUAAUAAAAAGUAUGUGAUUUAACUCAACUUGAAGAAAUAAUGUUCUCUAAUACAGCAAUGUAAUCAUUUUCUAGAGGUAGAUGAUAGCUUGGAGGGAACUUGUCUUAACAGGAUGAACGUUGUGUCACAAACCAUGUCCUUUCGUUUCUUUUCAUCCUUAUCCAAUAUGCUUGAAAAUAUGAAGAGUGGUACUCAGUGAUGUGUUGUGUUGGAUUUGCCCCAAAUAACUAUUUGUAUUCAGGACAUAGUUAAUUUGUUUGCUAAUUUGUUUGCGGUUUUACUUUUGUCUCUUAUUGCAAACAGGAUUCAAAUUGAGGAAUAUUUGUAUUCUGUACAGGCUUCCUUCUUUUCACUCUGUUAUUUAGGUUAGUAUGGUGGAGUAACUACAAUGUUGUUGAUCCAUCCUCAGUUUCCUCCUAUCACAGCCAUUAA